AACGAACGCUGGCGGCAGGCUUAACACAUGCAAGUCGAGCGCCCCGCAAGGGGAGCGGCAGACGGGUGAGUAACGCGUGGGAAUCUACCCAUCCCUACGGAAUAACGCAUGGAAACGUGUGCUAAUACCGUAUACGUCCUUCGGGAGAAAGAUUUAUCGGAGAUGGAUGAGACCGCGUUGGAUUAGCUAGUUGGUGGGGUAAAGGCCUACCAAGGCGACGAUCCAUAGCAGGUCUGCGAGGAUGAUCAGCCACACUGGGACUGAGACACGGCCCAGACUCCUACGGGAGGCAGCAGUGGGGAAUAUUGGACAAUGGGCGCAAGCCUGAUCCAGCCAUGCCGCGUGAGUGAUGAAGGCCCUAGGGUUGUAAAGCUCUUUCACCGGUGAAGAUAAUGACGGUAACCGGAGAAGAAGCCCCGGCUAACUUCGUGCCAGCCGCCGCGGUAACAC
rnacentral:rRNA from 1 species